GAUGAACGCUGGCGGCGUGCCUAAUACAUGCAAGUCGAGCGAACAGACGAGGAGCUUGCUCCUCUGACGUUAGCGGCGGACGGGUGAGUAACACGUGGAUAACCUACCUAUAAGACUGGGAUAACUUCGGGAAACCGGAGCUAAUACCAGAUAAUAUAUUGAACCGCAUGGUUCAAUAGUGAAAGACGGUUUUGCUGUCACUUAUAGAUGGAUCCGCGCCGCAUUAGCUAGUUGGUAAGGUAACGGCUUACCAAGGCAACGAUGCGUAGCCGACCUGAGAGGGUGAUCGGCCACCCUGGAACUGAGACACGGUCCAGACUCCUACGGGAGGCAGCAGUAGGGAAUCUUCCGCAAUGGGCGAAAGCCUGACGGAGCAACGCCGCGUGAGUGAUGAAGGUCUUCGGAUCGUAAAACUCUGUUAUUAGGGAAGAACAAAUGUGUAAGUAACUAUGCACGUCUUGACGGUACCUAAUCAGAAAGCCACGGCUAACUACGUG
rnacentral:rRNA from 1 species